rnacentral:lncRNA from 1 species
AUGAAUUUAUCAUCACGGCUCAUGAUUCAUCCUAAACAGUUGGAGCUCUGUGCUCUGUUAGCUGCUAUCUGGGCAGCUGUUGGGCUUGGUGGCCUUGCUGUACAGAUACAGUUCCAUCGUCCUUAGAGCAAAAAGACUGACUGAAGAAUGCAGCCUAUGAAGGGGAUUUGAAGUGCGAGCCUCCAACAUGGCUGUGGUUCUGCCAGCAAGAGCAGGGAGGUGGUGGCACAUGGGCGUUUUCAUCUUAUGCAUGUGGUGCCUGUGGUGAGCAGAAGAGUGUGCCAGAUCCACAGGCGUGAGCUGCCAUGUGGGUCCCCGAAACAGAAUCCUCUGCAAGAACAAGUGCUCUUGACCACUGAGAUUCCCCCAGCCCUUCCUACCCGGGUCUUCGUGCCUGCCUGCAUUGUCUCAGUCCCAUCUGAUCUCAGCAGUGACCGCCGUCUCCGUCUUUAAGGGAGUGUUUGAAGACACUGUGCUGUGGGAAGAAGUUUCCAUGUGGAGCUUUUUCGGAGAAGGACCAGAGCUUGUGACGAGCCUCCAUGUAGUCAUCACCUGAUGGCACAUCUUCUCUUCGGUAUCCUCCAUAUUGUUCCCUUCUGCCCUAAUAUUCUGAAGCCACCAAGGAGCUUUCUGUUGACAACAUUGACCAGAUUCACUCCAGGAGCUGAAUUCUAGGCUGGGGCCCAGAAUAGAUGUGCUUAAACAGAGCUCUCUCAGAGUCUUGGCGGAGCAGCCAAGGCUGAGCGCUGGGACAUUGAGAGACCCCAGGGGAGGUGGAAGAGAUGAGUUUACCUGGAUCCGUUAAAGGACACUGGUAUCUUUCCUCCAAGUUCCUUCCAGAGAAUCAGCUGCUCCAGACAGGGACGAAUCCCCCUAAUGUCCCCUUCCCUACCUCCUCUUAUAGGGUCUUGGCAGGAAGAGAGCAAUGCCUUCCUGUCUCCUUGAUGACGUAUCAGCCGUGUCAGCCCCCCACCAGUGAGAGAAAAGGCCUGUGGGAUAUACCCAUCUGCAAGGGUUAACUGAGACACCAUGAGGAUAAAUGUUCCCUAGGCCUCAGCCAGCUGGAUCCCGUGAUCCAGAGCCUGGUGCUGGCACAGCCAGCAAACAAAGAUGCUUUGUUCAUGUACGAGAAUAAACACUUCCCCUGGAUAUUUACUCCCGGGCUCAAGUGUAAUAUGGGGUGUAAGUUACUCUUUAACAGGCAAUUGGAUACUGGCUGUUGAGUUCUGAACUAAUUUCCUGGAGGGAAGGGAUGGCUACAUCUGCCCAGGGGAUGACCAGCCUCAGGAGCGCCUAUGGCUGGCCAUUACCAGAAUCUGAGAACAGACACAGUGGCCACUGCAGGCUUCUCCAAGAGGCAGGGGAAGCGGAAUGAAAUGGAGGCCCAGCAAAGGGGAUGUUUAUUUUGCCAAGGCAAGGAACCUGCCUGUCCAUUCCCCUGCAUCCACACCAGCUGCUUGGGAGAAGGCAGUCAUCGUGUGCUUUGGGUGGGAAUAGGCUGUCCAGUGCCACGGUGCCCAGCCCCAAGCUCCAUUCCCACCAUUAACUGUUGCUACCCAAGUCUAAGCCUAGUCUUCUAGAUCAGAGGCAAUGGCUGACAUACCAUGACCUGUCAGUCUUUAGAACUUAAGUAAAACUGCACGGAGUGAGGCGUGGUGAUUGCUGGCAGGGUCCUUGUCUGGCAUGUGGCAGGCGCUGGGUUCCAUCCCUGACAUCUCAAAAGUAAAUGAAUAGCUACUGCACAUAGUUUUACAUGUCAAUCAUUAGAAACCUAGAUGAAGACUUUGGACAGAGAUUGUGUAGGAUCCACGGGGAGGAAAGGAAGCCAUCUCUCUUCCUACUGCCUGCUCUGAUUGGACCAUGGGAGACCUCUGCCCCAGGGAAGUUUGUCCUUGGCUUGCUAGAGACCUAUCGCUAAGUACAGAAAGAUGACAAGGCUAUUGACUUGCCCCUGCGUGGAUAUUUGGACCAGAAAAAGAGGAGGGAAUCACUUUGCAGGAGGAUGAUAUAAGUAAAUGACAUGUGGGCAUCAUGGAGGUCACUGCACAAUGCCAUCCUCUGUGGCGGGCACAGGAGGGCACCAGGAGACAGACUCAGGAAGAGGUGUGGAAGGAAGCAAGUCAGAAGCCCUCAGAGCAACAGAGAGCUGUCCUUUCCUUGACUGUGUGGUGGUUGGAAUGAGAACAGUUCCUGUUCGCUCAUAGAUUUGAAUAUUUGGUUCUUGGAAAGGUUCGAAGAUGUGGCCUUGUUGGAGGAGGUAUGUCACAGGUGGUUGGCUUUGAGGUUUCAAAAGCCUAUGCUAGGUCCAGUCUCCAUCUCUCUUCCUGCAUCUUGCAGAUAAGAUCUACAAAAGCUCCUAGCAAUUGCUCUAGCACGAUGCCUGCCUGCCACAACGCUCCUCUCCAUGAUGGUAAGGACUCACCCUCUCAGACUAUAAGCAAGCCCCCAAUUAAGUACUUUCUUCUAAAGUUUAUCUUGCUCAUGGUGUCUCAUUAUGGCCAUAGAAAAGUAACAGAGACAACUUGUUUGGAUUCAGGGGCCAGCCACAGAACUAGGACCCAGGAUCCUGUGACCUGUCAG